UUCUUAUCAAGAGCAGGUGGAGGGACUAGCCCUAUGAAGCCCGGCAACCGACUUAAACAUGUGUUUGAGCACGGUGCUAAUUCUUGCAGCAUUCGCUGAUAGAUAAGGA
rfam:Bacillus litoralis strain C44 Scaffold2, whole genome shotgun sequence.